CGAAAGCCUGACGGAGCAAGACCGCGUGGGGGAAGAAGGCUCUUGGGUUGUAAACCCCUUUUCUCUGGGAAGAAAGUUGUGAAAGCAACCUGACGGUACCAGAGGAAUCAGCAUCGGCUAACUCCGUGCCAGCAGCCGCGGUAAGACGGAGGAUGCAAGCGUUAUCCGGAAUGAUUGGGCGUAAAGCGUCCGCAGGUGGCAGUUCAAGUCUGCUGUCAAAGACCGGGGCUUAACUUCGGAAAGGCAGUGGAAACUGAACAGCUAGAGUAUGGUAGGGGCAGAGGGAAUUCCUGGUGUAGCGGUGAAAUGCGUAGAGAUCAGGAAGAACAUCGGUGGCGAAGGCGCUUUGCUGGACCAUAACUGACACUCAGGGACGAAAGCUAGGGGAGCG
rnacentral:rRNA from 1 species